rnacentral:rRNA from 1 species
UACGUAGGGUGCGAGCGUUGUCCGGAAUUAUUGGGCGUAAAGGGCUUGUAGGCGGUUUGUCGCGUCUGCUGUGAAAUCUCAAGGCUCAACCUUGAGCUUGCAGUGGGUACGGGCAGACUAGAGUGUGGUAGGGGAGACUGGAAUUCCUGGUGUAGCGGUGAAAUGCGCAGAUAUCAGGAGGAACACCGAUGGCGAAGGCAGGUCUCUGGGCCACUACUGACGCUGAGAAGCGAAAGCAUGGGGAGCGAACAGG